GGUGAGUAACACGUGAGUAACCUGCCCUUAACUCUGGGAUAAGCCUGGGAAACUGGGUCUAAUACCGGAUAUGACUCCUCAUCGCAUGGUGGGGGGUGGAAAGCUUUAUUGUGGUUUUGGAUGGACUCGCGGCCUAUCAGCUUGUUGGUGAGGUAAUGGCUCACCAAGGCGACGACGGGUAGCCGGCCUGAGAGGGUGACCGGCCACACUGGGACUGAGACACGGCCCAGACUCCUACGGGAGGCAGCAGUGGGGAAUAUUGCACAAUGGGCGAAAGCCUGAUGCAGCGACGCCGCGUGAGGGAUGACGGCCUUCGGGUUGUAAACCUCUUUCAGUAGGGAAGAAGCGAAAGUGACGGUACCUGCAGAAGAAGCGCCGGCUAACUACGUGCCAGCAGCCGCGGUAAUACGUAGGGCGCAAGCGUUAUCCGGAAUUAUUGGGCGUAAAGAGCUCGUAGGCGGUUUGUCGCGUCUGCCGUGAAAGUCCGGGGCUCAACUCCGGAUCUGCGGUGGGUACGGGCAGACUAGAGUGAUGUAGGGGAGACUGGAAUUCCUGGUGUAGCGGUGAAAUGCGCAGAUAUCAGGAGGAACACCGAUGGCGAAGGCAGGUCUCUGGGCAUUAACUGACGCUGAGGAGCGAAAGCAUGGGGAGCGAACAGGAUUAGAUACCCUGGUAGUCCAUGCCGUAAACGUUGGGCACUAGGUGUGGGGGACAUUCCACGUUUUCCGUACCGUAGCUAACGCAUUAAGUGCCCCGCCUGGGGAGUACGGCCGCAAGGCUAAAACUCAAAGGAAUUGACGGGGGCCCGCACAAGCGGCGGAGCAUGCGGAUUAAUUCGAUGCAACGCGAAGAACCUUACCAAGGCUUGACAUGAACCGGUAAUACCUGGAAACAGGUGCCCCGCUUGCGGUCGGUUUACAGGUGGUGCAUGGUUGUCGUCAGCUCGUGUCGUGAGAUGUUGGGUUAAGUCCCGCAACGAGCGCAACCCUCGUUCUAUGUUGCCAGCGCGUMAUGGCGGGGACUCAUAGGAGACUGCCGGGGUCAACUCGGAGGAAGGUGGGGACGACGUCAAAUCAUCAUGCCCCUUAUGUCUUGGGCUUCACGCAUGCUACAAUGGCCGGUACAAAGGGUUGCGAUACUGUGAGGUGGAGCUAAUCCCAAAAAGCCGGUCUCAGUUCGGAUUGGGGUCUGCAACUCGACCCCAUGAAGUCGGAGUCGCUAGUAAUCGCAGAUCAGCAACGCUGCGGUGAAUACGUUCCCGGGCCUUGUACACACCGCCCGUCAAGUCACGAAAGUUGGUAACACCCGAAGCCGGUGGCCU
rnacentral:rRNA from 1 species